GAUGAACGCUGGCGGCGUGCCUAACACAUGCAAGUCGAGCGAACAGAUGAGGAGCUUGCUCCUCUGACGUUAGCGGCGGACGGGUGAGUAACACGUGGAUAACCUACCUAUAAGACUGGGAUAACUUCGGGAAACAGGAGCUAAUACCGGAUAAUAUAUUGAACCGCAAGGUUCAAUAGUGAAAGACGGUUUUGCUGUCACUUAUAGAUGGAUCCGCGUCGCAUUAGCUAGUUGGUAAGGUAACGGCUUACCAAGGCAACGAUGGGUAGCCGACCUGAGAGGGUGAACCGCCACACUGUAACUGAGACACGGCCCAGACUCCUACGCGAGGCAGCAGUAGGGAAUCUUACGCAAUGGGCGAAAGCCUGACGGAGCAACGCCGCGUGAGUGAUGAAGGUCUUCGGAUCGGAAAGCUCUGUUGGUAGGGAGGAAGUAAAGUGUAAUUAACCAUGCACGUCUUGACGGUACCUAAUCAGAAAGCCCCGGCUAACUUCGUG
rnacentral:rRNA from 1 species